rnacentral:misc_RNA from 1 species
CACACUCCAAGCAGUGCUUGAUGUUGGGCGAUGCGGCACCCCUCAGCGGGGGCUGCACGCCUGGAACGCGUGGGCGCCAGCCGCCGGACCACGAGCGUAGCAAGACGACAAGUCAAUUCGCUGUGUGUGCUCCGACGGAGGGCCGCCGAGCCUCUCUCUCUCACGGGGGAGGGGCACCCUAUUUUACACGA